CAGGGAUUGCCCUAGUAACGGCGAGUGAAGCGGCAACAGCUCAAAUUUGAAAUCUGGCCUCGGCCCGAGUUGUAAUUUGCAGAGGAUGCUUCUGGCGCGGUGCCUUCCGAGUUCCCUGGAACGGGACGCCACAGAGGGUGAGAGCCCCGUAUGGUCGGACACCAAGCCUGUGUGAAGCUCCUUCGACGAGUCGAGUAGUUUGGGAAUGCUGCUCUAAAUGGGAGGUAAAUCUCUUCUAAAGCUAAAUACCGGCCAGAGACCGAUAGCGCACAAGUAGAGUGAUCGAAAGAUGAAAAGCACCUUGAAAAGGGGGUUAAAUAGUACGUGAAAUUGUUGAAAGGGAAGCACUUAUGACCAGACUUGGGCCGGGCGGCUCAUCAGGGGUUCUCCCCUGUGCACUCCGCCCGGCACAGGCCAGCAUCGGUUCUCGUGGGGGGAUAAGACCGUCAGGAACGUAGCACCCUCCGGGGUGUGUUAUAGCCUGGCGGACGAUACCCCCGUGGGGACCGAGGUCCGCGC
rnacentral:rRNA from 1 species